UAGCUCAACAUUUGUUUUUAUUUUCAUUUUAGAAACUUUUUCACCUCCUGUGCUUGCCAUCCUGCUUCCCUUCUCCACCCUAACCCAGAGCCAGGGCUUCUCAGGAGGAUUGUCCUCUUCAUCCCUCCCUGACAAGGCUCUGUGCACUCACAGCCAGAAAUCCUGCCUAGAGGAAUUCCCAGCUCUGCUGAUGUGAGCAUACUUGGAAGAGCAGAGGAAAAUACCAGGUUUUUCCAAGCCAACUCAAGUGGGCUGAAGUCAGGAUGGUUUUGGAAUCAGACUUUUGAUGAGCACAUAAGAGGGGUGUGGCUGCUGCCUCCUCCUUCCCCAGCGGGAGGAGCGUAGGAAGGGAGGUGAGACACAAGUGUCACCAUGCAAUGUGUGGCUGUGCAGGUGUCACCUUUGACUCAGCCUAAUCAAAGCCAAUUUCAAGACCAUCACCCACCCUUUUGGUGGUGCAGGGCAGAGUCUCUGCUUGGGUCACCAAGCAAGGCAGCUGAGCCUCGCACAUGAGCAUGGUAUGGAAUGAGAUACGGACUCCAGGAACUAAGCCAGGCUCAAAUUCAGUCCACGGCCACUGGAGCAACUACAGCUAAACUGCAUGGCUAAAUCCUGGCACCCUGAUCUGGCCCAGGCCAGGAGGUCCCAGAGGGACUUAGGGAGGCCAGCCCAAAUCAGUGCUGAAGGCCAUCAAGGUGGGUGAAGACACAUUGUACUUUAAAGCACAGGAAAUCCUUCUCCCUGACUUUCCGGCCAGUCUUAUCCUUGUAGGUCAAAUAUCCUCCCAAAGACACACGGAGCCGUGACAGGAGCCUGGCAUUGUCUGCGCCACAUUUCUGUACUUUUAUAGCAAAUGGAAGCUGGCCAUGCAUUGUUUUGGCUUUCUCUGAGUCUCUUUGAAGAGGGAGCUGUGACAUUGAUCCCUCUUGUCCAAGGGUGGAGAAGCACUUUGUGAAGGGAAAGAGUAAUACCUCUUUCUCCUCUCUGGGCUGAUCUCUGCUAUUGUUUUACUUUAUUUUUAUUAGGUAUAGUUCUCCCUUAUCUGCUGUGGUCAGACUUCUUAUAGGGCAUGGAAAGGACAUGAAAAAAAUCUGGAUUCUGGGUAAAGAUUGGACAGUGUGCAAAUGUGAAAUACUAGUGGGAUUUUUAGGGCUAUUAUUAUGAUUAUCAUCAUCACUGUUAAUAACAGCAGCAUCUGGUGUUUGUGGAUUUUUCUCUUCAUGGGUCUAAGACUGAGACUGGGUUUUUUGGUAUCAGAGAACAUUAGGAUGUAAUUGUAGCAGCAAGGAUUUAUGCUGGUAAGAACAGAAUGGGUUUUGCUGGAACAGUAGGAAAACAUGGCAAAACCCCCAAAAACCUUAAGCUAAGUGACCUAGGAGUAAUAGCAAGUUUUUCCAAGCAUGUUAUAACCCUUGCCUGUGUUUUCAUCAAUCAUCCCACCAAAAUCUGCCUGGGGCAACAAGACUUCCCAAUUCCCCAUCAGCCAUGGUGAAGGGAGUCUCUGCACCAGGAGGUGAUGGGGCUUGGGCACUGGGGAGAUCCACAGGAUGGAAAUGCUCCCUGGGACCCUGCCUGGGGUGAGGGGUCCAAUGUAACCCUGCUGUCUGUGUGUGCAUCCCGUGCCAGGGGGAUGGGCCAGGCAGAAAUGCUGGAUUGGCAGCAGCCUUGGCAGUAACAUAAAGCGUCAGAGAGAAACAUGAGCUGGCCACCACACAAUGUUAUCUCUUAGACUUCCCAGGCCCACAAAAGCUGUCUGUUAGGGCUGCUGGGUCUUUUCCUACAGGAAUGUCAUGCUGGAGAAAGCUGUUUGAUGGGCUGUGCUGUAAAGCUUGGGCUGCUUGGACUCACAGGAGAGCAAAGGGAGAAAAGGCACCAUGGUGUGUGUGGGUCCUGCACUGCUCCUGCUCCAGACAGCUCCCCCAGCCCCUGAGAGUAUCCCACCAGUUCCCACAAUCCAUCCUGUCCUCUCUGAUGGUAUAGAAGGAGCUGGCAGGUAGGGAAGGCCACAAUCCCACAUCAAACCACUAAUUAAACAGCUUUUGGGCAUUAGUGAGGCAGUGGGACAUGCGAGCUCAGGGCUCCUCAUGAGACACCAAGAGUCCUAAACUGGUUCACACAAACUGGUUUAAAUCUCUCAAAGCGGUUGUGAGAGGGACCCCAGGAGCUGUGGUUGACUUGAGAACUUCACAUGGGUCUCUGGUCUGCUGGUCCAGGCUCCUGGAACCACCCUUCUCCAGCUUUUAGUUGCUUUUAUGAACCUGCCUGUAAGAAUGGCUUCUGUAAGAAUGGGUUAACCAGGAGAAACUCAGGGUCUCUGCCAGGAACAUGCACUCACAAAAAAAAUACUUUUUAGGUUAGUCAUAAAGCAUCAGGAAAUGCAAAUCCAGAGCAGAGAGGCUGACAGCCAAACAGAGGAACAGGUUGUUGUUUCUCCUUGGAGAAGCAAACCAGGAUCUUGUCCCAUCCAAAAUUUCCAAACCCUGUUUUUGCAAAAUCAGGCCUUGGUUGUUCAGCAGGACCAAGUCAGAACUUCACCACUCAGUUUUAAUGGUGGUGAUUCCUGCUUUGGAAAGGGGAACACAUCCAGAUGACACUGCCUGGAGAGCCUGGUGGCUGCAGUUCCCACUGUUAUCUGUGUUGUUCGAGAUGCCUUUACAGCACCCCAAGUUUGGGAAAGUGGCAAGUCCUCUGUUUUUUUCCUUCU